AGCUACUUGGGAGGAUGAGGCAGAAGAAUCGCUUGAACCCGGGAGGCGGAGGUUGCGGUGAGCCGAGAUCGCGCCAUUGCACUCCAGCCUGGCGACUCAGCGAUACUCCGUCCCCCUCCCCCCGCCCCAAGAAAAAUCUGUUCUGUGGGGAGCGACAAGGAAGGAGCUUUCAGCCCGACGGGGGUCGCAGGGAAGAAUUCAAGAUGGCGUGUUUAGGAGCUCUAGCUCCUUGACAAAUUAGUAAAAUGUUAGUCUUAGGAGAAGAACGAAAAGGCUCUCCUAGACUAAGAAACAGCAUACACAGUGAGAAACCUCAGAAGAAAUAAAAUUCAAGGAAGAUAGCAACAACGAAAACAUCAGAAGGAACACUAAAGUAGUCAAAUCAGCUUAGCAGAAACAAACUAAGUACGUUAACCAAUGGAAAACUGACGGAGAGAAAUAAACUGUUUUUGCACGCUAAAUGGAAAUGACUUUUGAAUUAUCUGCUUUGGAAGAUUAUCCAUGACACUGUUCUGCCCUGCUCUGCUCUAACAACAUUUGGAUUCACCUACGCUCUUACCAGCUGGAGGGAGUAAA
rnacentral:sRNA from 1 species